AUGCCCAGGCAUACACACUUUAUUGGCAGUCUUCUUGUUUUGUAGGUUUCAGUACACGCCCUCAGGAGUGGCAAGUCGACAGAGGUCCUUCUGUAGCUUUGUAAUGAUUAACUUUAUGUCCAUAGGAAGCGUGAAGAAACAAAAAGCAUCGGAAGGACUCUGGGACGAGGAGCAGAGGAGUUGAGGAGAAGCAAGCGUCCUCCACAGGUCGGAUCCACUCAAAUAGCAGCUUUAAAUUGAAGCGUCUUGUGGUACAGUGAAAUGCGGGAGAGCUGACAAUGGAGUUCACAGUGUUUCUCUGCCUUUUACCUGCAUUUACUCUCACAAUGCAAGAGUUGGUGAACUUGGACGUGAGCCCCGUGAUUACCACAGAGUGUGACAAACCAGUUGCCCUGCACUGCAAUGCAUCAUCACGUCAGCACGGACUGUCAGUCAAACGCAUGGAGUGGUCCCAAGGCAAUA